AAACACAUGUAUUCACUGGAAUCGCUCAUCAACACUCGAGAGUUUAAAGGUUUAUUAGUCGUCUGGUCAGGAUAAACAUGGUAUAUGGCGUCCACCAUGCAGGUUCCUCACAUGCCCUAGGCUUCCGUGCUCACAUGCAGGUUCCUUACAUGCCCUAGGCUUCCGUGCUCACAUGCAGGUUCCUUACAUGCCCUAGGCUUCCGUGCUCACAUGCAGGUUCCUUACAUGCCCUAGGCUUCCGUGCUCACAUGCAGGUUCCUUACAUGCAGGUUCCUUACAUGCCCUAGGCUUCCGUGCUCACAUGCAGGUUCCUUACAUGCCCUAGGCUUCCGUGCUCACAUGCAGGUUCCUUACAUGCAGGUUCCUUACAUGCCCUAGGCUUCCGUGCUCACAUGCAGGUUCCUUACAUGCCCUAGGCUUCCGUGCUCACAUGCAGGUUCCUUACAUGCAGGUUCCUUACAUGCCCUAGGCUUCCGUGCUCACAUGCAGGUUCCUUACAUGCCCUAGGCUUCCGUGCUCACAUGCAGGUUCCUUACAUGCCCUAGGCUUCCGUGCUCACAUGCAGGUUCCUUACAUGCAGGUUCCUUCUCAACAAUGCAACAACAAUAAGAACCAAUAAAAUAUAAGAAUGUAAAUUAAAUGUCUCAGUAGAAUAUAUAUAUUUUUGCAUAAUUAUAAAACAGGAAAGCACAGUUUAU